rnacentral:rRNA from 1 species
GACGAACGCUGGCGGCGUGCUUAACACAUGCAAGUCGAGCGGUAAGGCCCUUUCGGGGGUACACGAGCGGCGAACGGGUGAGUAACACGUGGGUGACCUGCCCUCAGCUCUGGGAUAAGCCUGGGAAACCGGGUCUAAUACCGGAUAUGACUCCAUGACGCAUGUUGUGGGGUGGAAAGCCUUGUGCGGCUGAGGAUGGGCCCGCGGCCUAUCAGCUUGUUGGUGGGGUGAUGGCCUACCAAGGCGACGACGGGUAGCCGGCCUGAGAGGGCGACCGGCCACACUGGGACUGAGACACGGCCCAGACUCCUACGGGAGGCAGCAGUGGGGAAUCUUGCGCAAUGGGCGAAAGCCUGACGCAGCGACGCCGCGUGAGGGAUGACGGCCUCGGUU